rnacentral:rRNA from 1 species
AAAUUGAAGAGUUUGAUCAUGGCUCAGAUUGAACGCUGGCGGCAGGCCUAACACAUGCAAGUCGAACGGUAACAGGAAGCAGCUUGCUGCUUUGCUGACGAGUGGCGGACGGGUGAGUAAUGUCUGGGAAACUGCCUGAUGGAGGGGGAUAACUACUGGAAACGGUGGCUAAUACCGCAUAACGUCGCAAGACCAAAGAGGGGGACCUUCGGGCCUCUUGCCAUCAGAUGUGCCCAGAUGGGAUUAGCUUGUUGGUGAGGUAACGGCUCACCAAGGCGACGAUCCCUAGCUGGUCUGAGAGGAUGACCAGCCACACUGGAACUGAGACACGGUCCAGACUCCUACGGGAGGCAGCAGUGGGGAAUAUUGCACAAUGGGCGCAAGCCUGAUGCAGCCAUGCCGCGUGUAUGAAGAAGGCCUUCGGGUUGUAAAGUACUUUCAGCGGGGAGGAAGGUGUUGUGGUUAAUAACCGCAGCAAUUGACGUUACCCGCAGAAGAAGCACCGGCUAACUCCGUGCCAGCAGCCGCGGUAAUACGGAGGGUGCAAGCGUUAAUCGGAAUUACUGGGCGUAAAGCGCACGCAGGCGGUCUGUCAAGUCGGAUGUGAAAUCCCCGGGCUCAACCUGGGAACUGCAUUCGAAACUGGCAGGCUUGAGUCUUGUAGAGGGGGGUAGAAUUCCAGGUGUAGCGGUGAAAUGCGUAGAGAUCUGGAGGAAUACCGGUGGCGAAGGCGGCCCCCUGGACAAAGACUGACGCUCAGGUGCGAAAGCGUGGGGAGCAAACAGGAUUAGAUACCCUGGUAGUCCACGCCGUAAACGAUGUCUACUUGGAGGUUGUGCCCUUGAGGCGUGGCUUCCGGAGCUAACGCGUUAAGUAGACCGCCUGGGGAGUACGGCCGCAAGGUUAAAACUCAAAUGAAUUGACGGGGGCCCGCACAAGCGGUGGAGCAUGUGGUUUAAUUCGAUGCAACGCGAAGAACCUUACCUGGUCUUGACAUCCACAGAAGAAUCCAGAGAUGGAUU